AUACUGUGAAAGCUCCUUUGUC
rnacentral:miRNA from 1 species